AACGAACGCUGGCGGCAUGCCUAACACAUGCAAGUCGAACGAGACCUUCGGGUCUAGUGGCGCACGGGUGCGUAACGCGUGGGAACCUGCCCUUAGGUUCGGAAUAACUCCCCGAAAGGGGUGCUAAUACCGGAUAAUGUCUUCGGACCAAAGAUUUAUCGCCUUUGGAUGGGCCCGCGUUGGAUUAGCUAGUUGGUAGGGUAAAAGCCUACCAAGGCGACGAUCCAUAGCUGGUCUGAGAGGAUGAUCAGCCACACUGGGAGUGAGACACGGCCCAGACUCCUACGGGAGGGAGCAGUGGGGAAUAUUGGACAAUGGGCGAAAGCCUGAUCCAGCAAUGCCGCGUAAGUGAUGAAGGCCUUAGGGUUGUAAAGCUCUUUUACCCGGGAUGAUAAUGACAGUACCGGGAGAAUAAGCUCCGGCUAACUCCGUG
rnacentral:rRNA from 1 species